rnacentral:lncRNA from 1 species
UGAGUUUGAAGAUGUAGACAAAUGAGUUCCUCUUCAUCAGCAAAAGUUCUCUUGAGAUGUUAGCUUUCAACAACUCUCUCUUGCCAACACCAUAUGUUUCUGUGGUCAAAGCAGCUCGAUGGCUCUUGCUCUUAUCAAAUGGAGUCCGAAGCUCAUCAGAAAUUUUCUGUCCCACAUGGAAUGAUUGGAAUGCCUCAGCAAAUUCCUGGACUGUAACAAACCUGUAAGGCUUCUCUUUAUGUGCCCAAUACUGCCUUUGAUCUUUCCUUGAUGUUACCUGGAACACAUUAUUUGUAAAGAUUGAAUAGAAAUAGUAAUGUGUGAGGCUCGUUAUAGUUUUAGAAUGUUAUAAGCUUCUGUAUUAUCUAUAAAUAUUUAGAAACUGAAACAUCAAAUAUAGAGCUCUAUCACCGCAUACUUCUUGCAAGAAGUCAGCCACGCCUUUCCUUUUGGGGCAUCUAAAGCCCAUGGAUGCAAAAAACUCUAGUACCAGUUCGCGAGGACCCUGGUAUACAAUCUGGCCAUCGGAUAGAAGGAUAAUGUCAUCAAAUAGAUCAUAAGUUUCUGGUGCUGGCUGUAGGAGAGAUAUCACAGCAGUUCCACUAUUGAUGUGAAUAUUUUGCCUGAGACAAUUAACAAUUUGGAAAGUUGUCGAGCUGUCCAAACCAGUAGAAAUCUCAUCCAUAAAUAGUGCCAAUGCUGGUCCAACCAUCAUUUCACCUAUAAUUUAAUUUACGAUUUAUCAUAUGUUUGAAUGAAAAGAGAUAACUGUUUUGUAUCUGACCACAAUCAAAAUGAAUUUAUGGAGUUUGGUAUUUACCAGUCGUAACACGCUUCUUCUGUCCUCCUGAUAUACCUCUUAUCAUUUCAUCACCUACCAUGGUGUCUGCACAGACAUCCAGUCCCAGAACCUAUAUGUUCAUAAGGAGAAGCAUUCAAACACGUGACAUUAUUUACUUGUUCUUGAUCAUAAUUCGCAAUUUUAGAGUGAUUCAUAAAUAUGUUACCUUAAGAUAAUAAUCAGUGAUCACAUUGGCUUCUUGGCCUUCAGUUGCUAUAGCCUGAGACGAGAAUUGACAGAGAAAUACAAGAAACUCAAUCACCAAGAGUUCAAAUCAAUCUCCAUAAGGUUGUUUCCGAUCUAAAUCUAUUUUCUCGUGAGGUGAAAGGUAAAAUGCCAAGCUUAAAAUAUAUGUAAUUCAACAAAAUGAUAUAAAGAAUUGAAUCUCAAAGUUCAUGUACUAGGAUUUUGAGACAUAGGAGCACUUGAGUGAAGCCAGGCUUAAAACUGAAACUCAUAAUUCAUCAGAUUUUACAUCCAAUGAUUUUUUUUUUUUCUCUUUUCUGGAAUCAAAUUGGCUAAAUGCUAAACAUGUUUUAAAGUUUAAACAAACUUCAGCUUCUCUCACCUUCAUGUAGACAUCAAUAUCCGGAUCAGGCUUAAUACCUGCUGCCUUCUCUCUUCUUGCCAACUCAGUUAACAUUUCUGCACUUCCCAAAAGGCAGAACCUUUAAUCUGAGUUCUUUACUUGAAGGAAGAAAUUAAAAAAAAAAAAAAAUAUAUAUAUAUAUAUAUAUAUAUACACCUACCAUAACGGGUUCCAACCCCCUGGCAUCUAGCAGAGAAGGCCAAAGUUUCUCUCACAGUCAUUUCACCUAUAUGAUUAUCGUGUUGACUGAUAUAAGCAGCUGUUCUCUGAGGCACAAAUUCAUCCGUAUCGUGACCGUUGUAUGUUACCCUACCAGAAACCUACAGAGGGAUGUUUUGAUUCUCAAAUUAGGGAGAAAAUCAAAGAUCGAAAAGCAAAGGUAAAAGCCAAACCCCUCCUAAAUAAUUAGAGCUUUUAACUAUAUAAUCACCUUCAGAGUAGGAUCAAGCUUCCCGGCCAAAGCCAACAAUAGUGUGGUCUUUCCAGAACUUGGGGGACCCAGAAGCAAUGUCAAUCUGCGAGAAAAGAGAUGGGCUCAAUUUGUGAUCACUACCAACAUAUUCAUAGAAAAACAAGUAAAUUAAGAAACAAUAGGUAUUUAAUUUUCACCUUCCCGGCUUUAUGACUCCACUGACAUCCUUCAGGAUUGUCAAGUGUCUCUUUUUACUUGGAAUAAUGCGGAGAUAGUUCAAGAGACCCUGCAAACAAAUACAGAUUAUUUGAAUUUGAGCCGAGAAAUUAACAAAAGAUGAUUAAAAAAAUAAUAAUUUUUGCAUUUGAAGAUUGGUACCUCAAAGAUGUUGGUAUAGAAUUUAAUGAACGAUGGCAAGGCAUUACUUGCUAAAAAUGCUUCUGCUUCAACAUUCAAAUGUUCAUAUCGUACUUCGACUUUUGGAAGGUCUAUUCCAACUCUGCCAAAAAUCAAAGAAAAAAAUCAGAAUCAUGACCAAAAUACAACACGCUCUUGAAAAAAAAAAAAUGGUGGACACAACAUACACAUGAAAAAAAAGAACUCUGACAAACACACACACACUCUCUCGAAAAAGGUCUGCUCUGACACCGAGUUUUUAUCCAAAAGAUUAGUCCAUAAAACUGUAGAUUGCUCCUUUACAAUCCAAUAUGAGAGAAAUCAAUUCAAACUUAAUAUUUGUUUAAAACAAAGGCAAUUCAAGAUUAGCUUACGGAUUAUGUAACUUUUCUAUUUGUUUAAGGUGGAAACAGAACAUUACUGACAGCAUGAAAUAGUUAUAUGAAUAUCAGUUACAGCUGCUGAAGAACUGAAAGUUUUUUACCUAUCAAUACGGUUCUUGAGCUUCAACAAGAACCUCUCGUUAUCAACAUCAGUAACUUUAACCAAUUUAUCAAUCAACCUCUGCCUUUCUUGCAGCCCAAGGUUGUAAACAUCAACUUCAUUAGCUUCACCUCGUGAGGUAGUUAAUAUCCCCUUCCUCAAACGGUUAUAGGUAGGCAAUUUCUCGAGAGCAGCCCAUUUUAGAGCCUCCUCAUCGUCUUCUUCCCUUGAAGACCUCGAAAAUGCACCGAUGGAAUUUGUGUUCCAUCUAGAAGCGCUCCGACGCAAGCUAGUACUAGCCAUGAAAAUAUCGUGGGUGCCCUCCAUGGCAACUCAAGAUGCUCAGAGCUGCUGAAACCAACCAAAACCGAGGAGUGCUUUUUUCUCUCUAUUGUUGAACUCAACAAAGAGAAGUUCAAGCACAGAGAAAUGGGUACUAAUUAAUUUGACAGAGCAAUUGCUCCUACUAUGACUUGAUCCAUUAGUGACCCACGUAACCAUUUAUUUAUAUCUUGCAUACAACAGCAUAAAUUGACUGGUAUAUGGCACCGGCGGCUCAAAUAAUCAUUUCCCUUAUCUACCCUCCGUGAACAAGUCGUCGUAGCAAUAUAAAUAAAGACUUCUUUUCUACUAUAAAUAUCAAUAUUCCAGGGGUAGGCUCCGGAUCUUUCAUUAGGCCGAGCUAAAUUUUAAAUUUAGUGUAUAAGUUUAUGUAAAUUGUUGGUGCAUGUCAAGGAAUAAAACAAAAAAAAAUGUAUUAAAUAAUAAAUAUCUAACUCUAAUUUCAAUGAUAAAUUACUCUUUUCAUAUUGAGUUUCAUACGUUCUCUUGUUUAGGAAGAUAUUUGAAAACUUUAUUCUUAACUAAAAGAAAAAAAAUUCAUGAAAUUUAAUUUUCUUAAGCUAACGGGCUCCAGCCACCUAAUGGGUCUAUGUUCAUUGCUAUCUGAUGCCGGGCAGUUGAGGAAAGUGAUGGAUUCUUGACCGUAGACUUUUGGGAGCAGAAUAAAGAGUUUUAAAAAAAAAUUUCUUUAGAAAUUUCCGAGCAGCUGGUACCCAGUCACAUUGUUUACCUAUUUAACUUGUUAUGAAUUGACGGGGAAACGGGCGACUGAUUUUAUUAAUUGGUGUGAAAAAAUUUCCUUGCCAUGCUGCAAGAAAAGUAAUCAAGACUUGAUACAACAUCACAAGGUUACUCAACAGACUUUGACUAAUGACUAGGACUGGUUCAAUUCUAGAAUGGGGAUAGAAUUGGAAUACGAAACUCGUGCCUUGACUAACUAUUGUUACAUUGAUAAAUGCACCGUUUAAAUACGAAACGAUAAGAUUUAAUAAAUAACAACCACACAUAAUCUUGUUAUGAUAGAAUUAGUUUAUGAUAAAUUUUUUAUUAUUGAUAACAACGUUAUCGAUGAGUAGAUGAAAUGUAUAAUUGAUGCACAUCAUACCCUUUUUUUUUUUUUUCUCUAACACAAGAGAUUUUAUUAUCUCAAAUAGAUGAAAUGUACAAAAUAUGAAAAUUAAUUUAAUUUUAUAUUAUAUAUAAUUAAUGUUUUAUUAUUUUAUUGUAAUAUAAUAUUUAUUUAGCAUACUAUCAAUUAUUUGAUUAUGUAGAAAAAAUUUACUAAUUUACUAAUAAUAAUAAAGUGUUAGUUUAUCAAUUCAUAAAAUCAUUUUUGCUCAUUUGAACAAGAAUUUUGUAUUUUUGGUUGAGUUUUUGUCCUUAAAUAAAAAGAAUAAAUUUAAUUGCACACUUAAAUAAACUGACUUUUGUUAUUUCACCCCAAUAUUUUAAAUAGCCAUUAGCACACAUUCCUAAUUGACAAGGAUAUGACCAAUUAAAUAAUAAUUGUAUCAAAUUUACCACUCAUAUAUAUAUAUAUAUAUAUAUCUGAAUGGCUAAGUGUUGGAAAAUAGGACCAUGGGCAUGAGCCCAUGACUAAUUUUUUUAUUUUUUUAGUUUUUAGUUUGGUAGUGAAAUGGAUUUCUUAUUCUGGCAAAUUAUGCAUUCUCUUCUCUACAUAUAUUACAAUAAAAAAAAAAAACUUAUAUUGUCCAAAUUGACAAGUGUGCGAUGUCGGAGUAUUGUGUUCAUGUUUGGCAUCUUCAAAUCGAAAGGUGUUUCUAAAAUAGAUUAUGACUUCUAGAAGUAUCACAUAACCUGAAAAUUUUUAGGUGUAGGACUAAUGUGUGAAAAAAUAAAAGUCUUUAGUUUUUUUUAAUUUUUUAACAAAUAAAUGGAUUUCACUGUAAUUGACUUAGAAAAAGACAAAAAAGUGGGGUACGAAACCCGUGUGGCAACGUAGUUUUGGCCUUUUAGAAUAAGUAACACUAAUGUCACGUACUUGGACAUUACCCACAAGACAACUGACUGAGACAAAUGGCUGGACACAAACAACAAUCAACGCUUGACGUGGAGAAAGUCAAAGCACGCCAAUUUUGAAAUGAAGAUUACUUUAACCCUUCAAUUUAAUUUUCCAAUUAAGACCCCUCAAACAUGGGAGGUGGGGACCACAAUCACCGGAUCCGGAUCCGGAUCGUAUAGCGAAUUAGUGACGUACUCUGUUACUGCCAUUUCCCCGCAUUAAUUACUUUUAAAAAAAAAUAAAAAUAAAACGAAAAAUUUAAUUAUUAAAUUAAUUGUAGAGGCAACCAAGAAUUUAAUUAUUUAAUUAUUAAAAAGGCAUUUUCAAGACUGUUUUCAAGUAAAAAGAUCCAAUACUAAAUUAAUUAGCUCAUGCCUUUCCUGAUUUUCGUUGGUCGACAUUAUAAAAUUAUAAAAAAAUAAAAAAAUUAUUUAACGUUAAACAUAAGUUAAAAGGACAUAAUCUUAGACAAAAAUUCGUGUUAAUAUAUUUAAAUUAAAAAAAACACACACACACAUACACACAAAAUCUUAGACAAAAGAGAUGGGAAUUAUAAUAUACCAAGAGCAGAAGCAUUCAUUUUCCGUCUCAGUGAACGUGAGCUUCUCUUCACCGUCAGCAAGUCCGUAUGGUCAUUCCCUCCAUCACGACCGUCCAUCUUGCUCAAUUAUUAAAAAAAAAAUGAACUAAAAAAUGCAUCAAAUCUUUUGUGAAGCUUCUUCAUUUUAAUUAAUUAAUUAAUUAAGGGAAAAAAAUCUCGUCGUCCCGGCACAGCAUAAGGCUGAGCUUCUCCGCCGCCGCCGUAUUGAGAAAAAUAGCGGAUAAUUUUGAUUUAAAAGGCUUCUUGUUAGUCAUCACAUUACCCAAUUCCCUCACUAUCCUUCGUUAUUCUGAUGGAUUUUUGUGUUUCGGAAGUGAAUUUCAGUUCUAAUUUUUUUUUUCCAUUUAUUUUUAAGUUUUGGAAGCAUUACAUAAACUUUUUUUUUAAAUAUUUUACUUAAACGAAAAAAGAAAAAAAAAAAGAUCGGUUCGGUGGACAAAGCCUCUUACUCCUGAUUCAAACGCAAGACCAAUUAAACCACUCGGCUCAGCCCGAGUGGCCAGGGCUGCUGCCCUCUAACUUGGAGGGCAGCAGUUCGAACCCCCACAAAAGUAUUGUGGGGGUAUUUCCUUUCUCAAUUAAUUUAAGUGAAGGUAAUCUUCUUCCUUACCCAUGAGUGAGGAGUAGACAUCCCUCAAAUAUUUGUGAGGGUUAAAAUAUGGGCAGAGCUCCAUUAGCAUUGAUGUAAGUUGGUCCCAGUAAUUGUCUGAUUUGUAAAUAUCAGUUAUAGUCUCAUGUAAUAUGAGUUGUAAUCUGAGCAAUAGUCUCAUGUAAUAAAAAAUAAAAAUAAACGCAAGACCAAUUAAAUUAAACUCCUUCGAAAGCUACUCGGAUGACCGGCCAAAUUAAAACUCUUGAAAGUUUCGAUAAAAUAUUAAUUUUAAUAGUUAAAAUUCUUUUUGAUGGGGAAAUAAUAUAUUAUAAUUUAAUACAUUAUUAUUUUAAAAUGUUGAUUUAUAAAAAUAAAAAGAUUUACCAUACCCUAAUGUCUCGGAAAAUAGUCAAGCAAACUAACACAUUUUUUAGUGAAGAAGAAUAUUUGGACCAUUUUUUUAUUGUAGUACCAUUUAAAUAGAGCAGCUAAAAUAGUUAGCUUUAAAAUUUUUUAAUAAAUAUAAAUAUAAUAUAAAUAAUUAAAUAUGAUUAGUAGACUAAUAAUAUUAAAAUAAUUUAAAAACAUAAAUAUUAUUAAAAAUGUAUAAUUUAUUAAGAUAAUAAUUUUGAUAGAUAAAAUAAUUUAAAAACAUAAAUAUUAUUUGUAUUUUAAAAUAUUUUUUUAUUUAUUAAAAUGUUUAAAACAAAUCUUUCGGUCAAAUAGAUUUCACAAUUAAUUCAAUAUAUGUUAAUAGUAUUGAAAUUAUUUUACAUGCUAUUCAAAAUAAUUAAAAUUUUUAUAUAUUUUUAAUAUUAUGUUUCUAUUUAUUUAAAAUUAAGUUUAAUACAAUAAAAUAUGUCUAAUAGGUGUAUUUUUUAAAAUGUAUAUAUUACUAUAUUUAUUUUAACAUUAUAUUUUUAUCUAUUACAAAAUAUUAGAGUUAAUUUUAUUCGAGUUUAUAAAACCAAAAGGUAUUUUAGUUAAAUAGAGGCCUUAAUAUUCCUUCUUAAAAAUUUAAGAUGUGUAUAAUUAUUUUUUCAAGGAUAUAAUUAUCAUUUGAACAUUUAUAAAUAGAAAAUGAGGAUAUCGCAAGUUGUAGCACCCAUUUGAUCGUUCAACGGAGGCGCAUGGUCAAUCAAAAGAAUGAAAAAUGCCAAUUCUAAAGUCAAGUGUUUUUAUUUUCUUUAUCUUCAAGUUUAAAGUCAACAUCAAAGAAAAAGGUAAAAAUGUUAAGACAAAUUUGAUGUCUCUUCGCUAUGAAGAAAAUUUUGACAGUGAAGCCAGAUAGAAAAAUAAUUAGAAUAACGUUUGAAUAUUGCACAAGAAAAUUUCAUGGGUUAGAAAGGAAACAAAAAGUAGGAGAAUGAAAAUGUGAUCAUGGUUAAUUUGAAAAUUAUGAGAGCUUUGUAAAAUGAGAUUUUAAUUUUUAAAUUUUGUUAAUGUGUCCAUAGAAUAAAUGGAUUAAAUCAAUUAUUUUUUUAUGUAGUUUAAAUAGUUUGACUUUUAAGAUUAUGAUUGAGAGAGUCGCGGAUAAUGUAAGAGCAUUUACAUUAUUUUCAUUUACCUUUUACCAAGUGUGUACGAAUACUAUCAUGAUUAAUUAAAAAACAUGUAUGAUAAAAAAGUUAAUAAAAAUAUGACAAUUUUAAAAGCAUGUGCAUUUUGCUAAAAUAAACCAAUACUUGUAUUACAUAUGUGUAUAUAUUUGAACACUAAAAUUUUAUCCACCCUCAUUUUGCACACCCCUUUAUGUUUUGAAUCAAACUUCUCAUGAUUACCUCACCCAAUUAAAAUUAUAUACAUAUAGGACAGUGAUCCAAUCUGGGAUCCGGGAAUCUAGCAGGGCCGUUCAAUCCAACGGCCGCUGGUGGCUUUUUUUUUUUCAAUUUGUGGGCUGCACAUGGUGGACCCCACCAUGUGCAGACACCAGUGGCCUUUGGAUUCCACCAUGUGCAGCUACUAGUGGCCUUUGGAUUGAAAUCCAAAAGCCACUAAUUUUUGUCCCGGAAACUGUUCCAAUCCGGGACUCCCGGAUUGGAACAGUUACCUAUAUAUAAUAAAACUAAAAUUUGGAAACUUGGAAAAAUCAAAAUGCAUGCAGUGACUAAUGAAUAAGGUUCAACUUACACAUUAAAUAAAUUAAGAGCAACGCCAAACAACUUGCACAACACGAUGACAGUAGGUCCCUGAAUUGAUAGAAACAGCAGCAAAACGAUGUUCUUUUCUUGUUCUUUCUCUCUAUUUUUUUAAUUCGGUAAGCCCCCUGUCCCCAUCUGUAUAAUGUUUAAUAUUUUCAAAAAUAAAAAAUCCAAUUUGAAAAAAAAUUCAAGAAAAUCUUAAAUUGUGUGUCUGGUAAACAACCGCAAAUAUAAAAUUCACGUUCAACAUUAGUAGGAAGGGAAGGGGAAAUAUAUAUAUAUAUAUAUAUUAGAUCCGCUCAAAAUGUCGAUGAUUUUAUUUUCUUUAUUUUCAUGUUUAAAGUCAAAAGAAAAGAAUGAGAAAAUGGAGGAGAAGAAAUUUGAUAUCUUAUUACUAUAUAAGCAUUUAUUUUUUAAUUCGUUUGAAAUAACUUUUCAAGUAAAAUUUAUUUUAAUAGAGCUUUUACAAAUAGGGUUGGACAAUUUCGGAUUCGGAUAAGAUAUUCAAUCAGAUUUCGGAUAAUUUAGAUUGAGAAAAAAUUUAUUCGAUCUCAAUCGAAACCUUAUAUUUAAUUCAGUUCGAUCCGAAUUAGCUCAAAUCAAAUUCGAAUGAGAUGAAUAUUUCGAAUAAGUUCAAAUUUAGAUCGGUUUGGAUUGAAAUUAGAUUUGGGACCUUUUAGACAAUUCUCACAAAAAAAUCAUGAAAUCUACAAUAGUAUAGGCGGUGACAUCAAUCAUUGUCAGUCUCUUCUUUUGGUUAUUGAUAAUCUCAUUGGAAGAGAGCUGGGCUGGAUUUUCCCAUUGUGUCUUGACUAUCUUCGACAUAGUGGGUCUGGGGGACGCCAUGGUGGCUGGACGUCGAUCCAGAUGUAGCGGGGUUCAUUUGGUUUAUACUGUUGGUGGCGUGGGUCGCUGUGUGCGUCACGUCAUGAGUGUGGUUUGUGGUCAUGGGUUGCGGCUACCUUGUAUCUUGGUGAUUUUGGAAUUAGGUUUUCAUUUUCUUAGUUUCUGCUUUUAUAUUUUGUUUUUUUUUCUUUUUUAAGUAGCAGUGCAAUCCAAUUUGGAUUAUUCGAAUUGACUCGAAUUCGAUCUAAUCCACAUCUAAUCCAAUUACAUACACAAAUUAUAUCCGAUCGUAUUUGAAACCAAAUAUGAAUCUGGUAUGAAUUUGUAUAGAUUAGAUUGGAUCUGUCCAAAUCCAAUCUGAUGUCCAACCUUGUUUAUAAAUAGAGAUUUUAAAAAAAUUAGUUAUAUUGAUUAUCAAUGGAAUUUUUUAUUAAAAAUUAUAAAAUUAUUUUGAAAGUAAGUUUCUUAUAGUUAUGUUAUGAAAAAAAAAUGAAAUAAAAUUGUGAGACAAGAAAAGGAUAUUUUAGACAAUUAAAAAAAAAAUCCAAUCUUUACUCUUAAAAUUGCAAAAUUUGAGCUUUUACUAAUAUAAGAUAAAAUAGUUUAUUUAACCUCCAAAAGCUAUACUCAAAAUACAAGCAAGCAACAUUAAAAAUUAACAAAAAGAAAACUUAUGGGAUUGACUAUUUGAAAGCUAUACCAACCAUGCACUUACUCCCAUCUAUAUAUCUAUAUAAAGUUGGGACUUGAGGAGGUGAUGUGGCAUCAUCAUUUCUCUUAUUUGUAUAUUCUCUAUUAUCUAAUAAAUAGAGAAUGUUUCUUUUAGAUUUGACUUUUUAUCUUCUCAUAAUUAAUUUGAUUGUUAUUAUACAAUAACAAUUAUGUAAAGAUUUUAAUGAGGCAUAUUCUUUGUAAUGAAUAUCAAAGGGGGAGUGUUAUGAAUUUAUUAAAAUAAAUGUAAAUGUUCAUAACAUAUAUCCCUUAGUCUCCCCACUAUCUCCCAUUAGCAACCUUUAACUUUCCUAUAACUCCCACUAUCUCACAAGAAAUUAUGAUCCAUAAUUUUUCAUUAAUUUCAUGGAGUGAUUAUGUAACUAUAAAAGGAGAGCUCAUCUUUUUGUUUUGUACACACACAAUUUGAAUGAAUAAAAUCACUCUAUAAUAUAUUCUCUCAUUUUAUUCUUUAUCUUGCGUUGCUCCUUUAUUUGUAUUGCUAACUAAUAGCUUUUUUUUUUAUUUUUUAUAAGGCUGCCUCAUCUUAAAAAAAAAAUCAAUUCUUAUUUUUUAUCAAUUUCAUCAAGUGUAAAGUAAGAAAAAAUGAUAAUACUAAAUUCUUUUUUCAAAGCCGCGUGAAACGCGGGUCUAUUUUCUAGUAAUUAUAAGAAAACUCAAACCCUCCAUCUUAUGGAUGAUACAAAUGCUUUCUAUAAUAAAAUAUACAUGUUUUCUUCAUUAACGGUACGUAUAGAUCUUUUAGAGAGUAAAUUUUAGUUUAUCCCAUUCCCUUCAAAUUAAAUCUUAACCUAUGGAAACUAUCAAUUCAAGUCUAAACUUAUUGAAAAUAUCAACGCUCCUAUUUAAAAGACUAGGAUAAAGAGGGGCGUCUUAAAGAUCUAUUUUUAUUUUAUUUUAUUUUUUGGUAUUCUUAAUAAUAAAUGGGAUUGUGUUAACAUUUCGGUAAAUUGAAAGUAAGUUAAUUUAUUUGGCUGCUGAUUUGAAAAUUCCCCAUCUUUUAAAUUCAUAAGGUGCUUUUGCAGACAACUAGGUUAAGUCUCACAUUUUAAAUGAAGGUGUGUUACAAAGUUGAACUUUCUGUGCCUUCACCUACCUUGCGUUUGGAAAUUCUCAUCCCAUUUUGUGUUAUUUGAAUUUUUCCUAACACAAAAAUUCAUCACCCUAAUCAUUGAACCACAGCCUUUUCUCACAACAAAGUUGAAGGAGAGGGAGAGAGAAACAAAAUGCAGAAACAGUUCUGCGCUUAAAUGUCAAACCGUUUUGUUUCACUUAUUUUGUUUUUUAAUCAAAGAGAUGAAUAAUUCAAAUACAGUAGGAAAAAAAAAAACUUUGUUUUUUUAAUCAAAGAAAUGAAUAGCUGAGAUAAUUCAGACACAGUUGGAUCAAAAAGCAAUAUUGUGAUUUUCCAAACUACAAAGUCCCAACUUCUUGCAGUAAAUUGGGGCUAAAGCCUAAAAGUAGUGACCUUUUGGUAUGCUUUAAUGACCCCAACACAUUUGCUUUGAAUGUUAUUAUUAUAUUCAUUUCUCCCCUUUUCCGCAUUUGUCUUUAUUUCAAAUAUUCAAUUAUGCAUAUUCUAGAAGUAUGAUAUAGCUAGCACCUAAAAAUUAACCACAAAAAGGAAGACAAAAAGAGAGAUAUGAUAAGAUGCAGAAAAGAAAAGCAUAAGCUGUGUCCCAUAUCAAAACUUAAACAAGUUCCAUCUUGUAUCUCAUGCAACAUGACUCAACUUUCAUAUGGAUUCACACUUGGGGGGACAUUAACAGUAUUAUUUCUUGCAUUGAAAUCAAAACCACUAUAAUAACAGCAAGAAAAAUGUCUUGGCAUAGGUGUGAGAAAAUAUACACAAGCUAUUUAGAGGGGAGAGAGAAAAACUAACUGGGGUUAGAAUUAAUUUUAUUACUUAUUUAUUGUAGCUCGAUACAAUCUUAGUUCUAAUUUAGUUAGUACCCUUAAUUAUAACUGCAAUAAGAAAAUCUAAUCUUAAUAGGAAAGAGAUUAAAAUAAACUACAAGAGUCCUCAUAUUAUUCCCCACUCCUUAAAACAGGCUUGCCCGCAAGCCUUUUACCAAGUCCUAAAUCACAAACUUGAUCUUCAAGAUGCUAUUAAAUUUCUAUCGCCUCUGGAAAUUAAGCUGCUUGAUUCCUAGGGCGAAGACAAAACCAAAGAGGGCUACAAAGCACGUAAGAACACCCGCAACUACUCCCAGCAAAUCAUGUUUGAAACCAAAAUAAUCUCUAAGAAAGUGCUUCACUGUUUCACCAUUUUCCAUUUGGUCCUCCACAUCCCCAAACUGUGAAGCAAUCAAUCCAUACAGGGUCCAAGCUAUAGGGUUUGCCCAAUAGUACCAUCUCCACCAUACAGGAAUCCUCUGCGGUUUGAAAAAGGUGAAAGAUGAGGAAAGAAUCGGUAACAGAAAUUCUGUAACUAGAGAAUCUAGCAUAUGAAAUAGAAAUAGAAAUAGCAGAAUAGUACUUACAGGUCUUGGGAUUACAAAUCCGCAAAAGAGGUACCAUAUCCCGUAAAAUAAAGUCGAAACAAUGGCAGCAAUGUGGUGGUUUGGUGUUAUAGCCACUGUCAACAUGCCAUAGAAGGUGAAGAGCAAUAAUGUGAUGUACAUGAAGAAAAAAUACCAAGAGAACUUCUCGGCUGUCCAGUCAUAUCCCAUCAUAGCAUAGACUAUAACACAGUACACUACUGACUGAACAAAUAUAUAAGGAAUCUCAAUCAUGGCCUGCCGAAAAGAAAAAUCUAAAUAUCAGUAAUGAAACACAUUUCUUAUAACAUUUCAGAUAGGCAUGUGUCAAACGAUUACUUGUGCUAAUGCCCACGGAAGGCCCGCGUACAUGCCAGCGGCUUUUUCUCUGUAAAAGACUGUCCUUUCAACAGAUACUACUGGCUGCACGGAUGAACAAUAUUGAAGGCCGAGGAAGAUAAUUGCAGUAAACAUGGAACCCAUUGCAUUAAACAGAUCUUGGCUCUUUCUCCUAUAAAUUAAAAAGUGAAAAUUAAUAUUAAAAGGCAGAUGAGAAAACAAGACUAAGAAUAAUAUUUAAAUUUAUAAUGUUCCAGUUUCCAAGGCUGUAACUAACGUUUUAGAGCCCAUGUCCCAAAACAAUGACCCAAGCAACACUGCUAUAAAGGCUGUAAAAAAGAAUCUAACAGCAGUGUAUUGUGGAUUUCGCCAGUAUGACCAGUGUUGUUUCCAUAAGCAAGCCACGAAUUGAGUGAAAGCUGACUGCGAGUACUGGGUAGGAAAAUAGAGGUCCUUUGAACCUGGAGUAGGCUUGCUUAAUUCUUCAAUAAGUGCUUUGUUUCUCCUGAGAUACAUUGCCAAUUCAAAAUUUUGAACUAAACAAAUGCAUUGGCAGAGAGGUGAAUGGAUUGCAGUUAGUAGUGUUAGUACUUCAUGAAUGUACCUGUAUAAUUCUGAGCAUCUGAAAAUAUCAUUAAAAUCAACUCCCAAAGCUACCUCUUGGGAUGAAGCAGUUACUUCCAACAUCCAAGUGGCCGGAUUGUAACCAUCUUUAAUUUUCUCAACUCCAGGAAUAGCCUUAUAAAAACGAAUAAACAUGCAUCAGAUAGUUUCAAGAUGAAAAUUAUGCAAGUCACUUCAAAAUGAUACUCAAGUUGGAUUUCCAUUGUAAUAUGAUAACGUGCAUCGGCACAUACUUCAAAAUAGCUGAUAAGUUGGCAAGAAUGGCGACCCAAUGGCCCAACAUAAAUUUCUUGUCCCCCUCGCUUCAUUAGGAAUAACUGCAAUGCAUUGUUGAACAAUUGUAAUCCAUAGAAAAAAAGGGGAGAAAAAAAAAGGAACUUUACGUUACCUUGAUCAAGAAUUAACAUUUUUUACCUCAUCAAAAGCAUCAAAUAUGUCAAUGCCUGGUUGAUGAAUGGUGCACACUACUGUCCUUCCAGUGUCCACUGUAUUUCUAACAGUUCUCAUAACAAUUGCAGCCGCCCUUGCAUCUAGCCCUGAGGUUGGCUCAUCCAUAAAUAUGAUGGACGGGUUAGCCACUAGCUCAACCGCAAUGGUAAGCCUCUUACGCUGCUCUGUUGACAGACCACUUACACCAGGCAAACCAACCAAUGAUUGUAUCAGUGGUUUCAGCUCCACAAGCUCCAUGACUUCCUCAAUAAACAUCUGUAAAUCAAGGGGAAAACUCUAAAUCAGUAUGAAUUAUGUCCAAUAAUGUAUUUAGGGAUCUAACUCUUUCCCUGCCCAUUGACUCAGGUUAACUAGUUUUAGCCCUCAAUGACCUAACACUCUAUGUGACUUUAGUACCUACCUUUCUGGUUUCAGAAUCAACUUCAGGUGGUAAACGGAGCCAGGCUGAGUAGAGCAAGGACUCAUAUACAGUAACAAAAGGAGAAUGGAUGUCAUUUUGCUCACAGUAUCCUGAAAUGCGAGCAAAAGUUUCUUGCUUCUUCGGGUAACCAGAUAUUGUUAUGUUCCCAGUAAUAUAUCCACCCGUUUUCCUGCCGGACAACACAUCCAUCAAAGUAGUUUUACCAGCACCACUGACUCCCAUUAAAGCUGUUAGAACACCUGGCCGAAAAGCACCGCCCAAACCAUUCAGAAGCACUAAUUUGUCUUCAAGAACACCUUGAAGUUUCAUUUCCUACAAUGUAAAAUCGAACCAAUUGGUCAUCAUGCCUGGACUACAUUGAAAUGGAUCAAGAUAUCAUCGAGCUUUCUAAAUAUUGCCUAAUUAGUUUAAAAUUAAUAUUACCUGUGGCAUGUCAACGGAGUAUACAACCUCAUCAAAGGUAAGGGAAUGAGGUUCAAAAGGAAGAAUCAUUCCUCUUUUCUUUGGAUGACUGCCCUGUGCUUCUGUCAGGAUUAAGGACUUAGAAGAGGAGUUUCUCCCGCUAAUGUCUUCUCCACUCUCUGCACGCUUAAAACAAUUUAUUAGCAUAAGAUGGCAUUUAAAAAAUAUCUCAUUCUUUCUCAAAGGAAAUAGUUUAAUAACUGAAACAAAACUACCUCCACGGGUGGACAACUGAACAGUUCCUCUAAUUCUGUUAUCUUGCUUAUUACUUUCAGAUUCCUCUGUUAUAACAGCUCGAGGCUUCUCUAAUUCUGUAAAUAUUUUUUUGCACAAAAUUAGAACAUAAACUCACUGCUUUUGAAGUAUUAAGUGAAGAGGUAAAGAUGCAUACGGUUAAGAAAAGUAAUAGCCAUAGUGAAACCGAGGUUGAACAGUAGUAUAAAACCAAACAAUGCCCCCAAUCCAAGCCAAUACCAGUAUGCAUGAGCAAAGAACCCGCGACUCUUCAAAACUUGGACUCCAAUUGAUUCAUAUGAGUUUGGAGUAAACUAUUACAUGAAAAAAUUAGACAUCAGUAUGUUACUAAUAGACAAUUACACAAUUUUGGGCAAGGCUCAUUCAAAGACGUACCUUUUUCCAACUGUACCCAAGAAAUUCAUUUGCCACUAUUGCAUUCUGUGCGUAUGACAUUGGAGAACACCAGUAAGCCCAUUUCCACCAUUUUUUGAUGUCCUCUGCAUUAUGAAACAAAGAAAUGAAAAUAUGUUAGUUUAGUUAUGAAAAAGAGGCUAAUUCGGGCUCGUUUACUUUUAUAUUUUAUGUACCUUGUGAAAGGACAAAUCCACCCAAUGCGAAAAGCACGAGUAAUGCAAAUGUACCAAAUGUGUUAGCAACAACCAUGCUCCUGCCAGUUGCAGCAAUUAAUCGGAACAAUGCAGACGCCAUCUGGUUAACUGCUAAGAGCAACAAGUACUGCUUAAAAAACCUGCAACAAGAAAAUCAUCACAUCAACUUGUUGGAUAAAGAUAUCAUGUAAUGAAAAUGCCAUUGGUUAAUAGUCAAUUUGGUUGAUUUUCUAUCUGUUCACCUUCCAGCAUUGGGAUCACACCCAAUUACAUAAUAAGUUAAGAAUACCCAAACAGCAACCUCCAGGAACGAGAUGGGGAUCUUGAGGAUCCAUGAGGGAAUAGCAUAAGCCCAUGGAGGAAAGAAACGGAAAUCUCUUUGCUUGUAGAAGACAGGAAGCUUGGCAAUGGUCAUAGAAAUCUCCGCAAGUCCAUUAAACAUGACCAUUGCAGUGGCAAAGAACAAGGCACCAGCAUAAAUUCCACCAUCAGUUACUGAAUGUUUGUGCAUCUUUGUUCUGAAGAAGAGUGUCAUAAAGGCCAAUGCGACGGAUGAAAUCUAAUAUCAGGGGGGAAGAAAUAAUCAACAAAUCUCAAUCACAUAAAGAAAUGAUUAAAUUAAUUCAAAAUUAAGUUGAUACUUACUUGGGUAAGCUUGAAGAUGUAGACAAAUGAGUUCCUCUUCAUCAGCAAAAGCUCUCUUGAGAUGCAAGUUUUCAACAACUCCCUCUUGCCAACGCCAUACACUUCUGUGGUCAAAGCAGCUCGAUGGCUCUUGCUCUUAUCAAAUGGAGUCCGAAGCUCAUCAGAAAUUUUCUGUCCCACAUGGAAUGAUUGGAAUGCCUCAGCAAAUUCCUCGACUGUCACAAACCUGUAAGGCUUCUC